rnacentral:tRNA from 1 species
GUGGGUAUAUCUCAGUGGUAGAGCCCAUGCUUAGCAUACAUGAGGUCUUGGGUUCAAUCCCCAGUACCUCCA